rnacentral:rRNA from 1 species
UACAGAGGGGGCAAGCGUUAUUCGGAAUUAUUGGGCGUAAAGGGCGCGUAGGCGGCUUUUCAAGUGGCGGGUGAAAUCCCUCGGCUUAACCGAGGAACUGCCUGCCAGACUGGAUGGCUUGAGACCGGGAGAGGUGAGUGGAAUUCCCAGUGUAGCGGUGAAAUGCGUAGAUAUUAGGAGGAACACCAGUGGCGAAGGCGGCUCACUGGACCGGUACUGACGCUGAGGCGCGAAAGCGUGGGGAGCAAACAGG